rnacentral:lncRNA from 1 species
GCAAGCACUGCUACCAACUCUAUCUGCAAUGUGCAUCACCCAGAAAAGGAGGGAAGUGCAUAAAUGGAUGUAUUUUGGGAACCUUGCCACUCCUUGUCUCCCGCAUCAACUUGAAGAUCCCCUCUUGGAAAGGAGCCAUCUCUGCCUACUUUCCACCAACUUGGUGAGAGGGGACACAGGCCAGCAUGGGGUUCCUGCUGCCAGAAUGCCUCGUGCUUUCACCUUCUCCCUGGCUUAUGUCAGGCAAAGGACCACCCUCCCGAUGAACUGUUAUUCCUAUACCCCUCUCUUCCCCCUGGCUGCCCCAACAGCAGUCACCUCCUGCAUUUCAUUUUACCUGCUGAACAUACAGAAUGGGGA